rnacentral:rRNA from 1 species
AGUGAACGCUGGCGGCAGGCCUAACACAUGCAAGUCGAGCGGCAGCGCGGGGGCAACCCUGGCGGCGAGCGGCGGACGGGUGAGGAAUGCGUCGGAAUCUGCCUCUUUGUGGGGGAUAACGUAGGGAAACUUACGCUAAUACCGCAUACGACCUACGGGUGAAAGUGGGGGACCGCAAGGCCUCACGCAGAGAGAUGAGCCGACGCCGGAUUAGCUAGUUGGCGGGGUAAAGGCCCACCAAGGCGACGAUCCGUAGCUGGUCUGAGAGGAUGAUCAGCCACACUGGAACUGGGACACGGUCCAGACCCCUACGGGAGGCAGCAGUGGGGAAUAUUGGACAGUGGGCGCAAGCCUGAUCCAGCCAUGCCGCGUGUGUGAAGAAGGCCUUCGGGUUGUAAAGCACUUUUGUCCGGAAAGAAAUCCUUUCAGUUAAUACCUGGGAGGGAUGACGGUACCGGAAGAAUAAGCACCGGCUAACUUCGUGCCAGCCGCCGCCGUAAAAC